rnacentral:rRNA from 1 species
UACGUAGGGGGCGAGCGUUGUCCGGAUUCAUUGGGCGUAAAGCGCGCGUAGGCGGCUUUGCAAGUCGGCCGUGAAAUCUCCGGGCUCAACUCGGAGGGGUCGGGCGAGACUGCGCGGCUCGAGGUGGGCAGAGGGCAGUGGAAUUCCGGGUGUAGUGGUGGAAUGCGUAGAGAUCCGGAGGAACACCAGUGGCGAAGGCGGCUGCCUGGGCCUGGCCUGACGCUGAGGCGCGAAAGCGUGGGGAGCAAUCCGG